AACACCAGGAGUGGAAGACAAAAGCAGAGGAUGAGAAAGACUGAGUGCUGAUACGGUUCCUCAGUAAGUAGUCAACAUGAGGAGAGAGCAGGAGAACCAGAGUAGGACAGCACUCUGUUUCCAUGGUCGGUGGUUCUUAGUCAUCUCCUGAAUCGUUCUCUCCAGCCAGCCUUGGCUCUGAACCCUGAGUGCUGCUGCUGCUUGGCUCCUGAUGGUUCCCGAUGACGUCUUAUGAUCCAUCUCUGCUCGUUGGCCCCCUAUCACACAUCAAGUCUUCCCUCGAGCUCUGGAAAGGCAAGGAUGACGACACAUUUGCUUUAAGCCAAAACACUCAUAUAGGCCUGUCACCCUUGGUAAUUUGGUCGUAGAUUUCAUGAUAUAUGCCUAUGCAAGUAAAUAAAAACACAGCGUAUCAUAU